rnacentral:rRNA from 1 species
AGUGAACGCUGGCGGCAGGCCUAACACAUGCAAGUCGAACGAGCGGCGGACGGGUGAGUAAUACCUCGGAAUCUACCCUGUAGUGGGGGAUAACGACGGGAAACGUUCGCUAAUACCGCAUACUAUCGCAUGAGCCCAUAUGGGAUUAGCUAGUUGGCGGGGUAAAGGCCCACCUAGGCGACGAUCCGUAGCUGGUCUGAGAGGAUGAUCAGCCACACUGGAACUGAGACACGGUCCAGACUCCUACGGGAGGCAGCAGUGGGGAAUAUUGCACAAUGGGCGCAAGCCUGAUGCAGCCAUGCCGCGUGUAUGAAGAAGGCCUUAGGGUUGUAAAGUACUUUCAGCGGGGAGGCGUUACCCGCAGAAGAAGCACCGGCUAACUCCGUGCCAGAGGCCGCGGUAAUAC